rnacentral:rRNA from 1 species
GAAUACAUCGGAAUCUACUUUUUCGUGGGGGAUAACGAAGGGAAACUUACGCUAAUACCGCAUACGACCUACGGGUGAAAGCAGGGGAUCUUCGGACCUUGCGCGAUUGAAUGAGCCGAUGUCGGAUUAGCUAGUUGGCGGGGUAAAGGCCCACCAAGGCGACGAUCCGUAGCUGGUCUGAGAGGAUGAUCAGCCACACUGGAACUGAGACACGGUCCAGACUCCUACGGGAGGCAGCAGUGGGGAAUAUUGGACAAUGGGCGCAAGCCUGAUCCAGCCAUACCGCGUGGGUGAAGAAGGCCUUCGGGUUGUAAAGCCCUUUUGUUGGGAAAGAAAUCCAGCUGGUUAAUACCCGGUUUUUUUUUUUUGUACCCAAAGAAUAAGCACCGGCUAACUUCGUGCCAGCAGCCGCGGUAAUACGAAGGGUGCAAGCGUUACUCGGAAUUACUGGGCGUAAAGCGUGCGUAGGUGGUCGGUUUAAGUCUGUUGUGAAAGCCCUGGGCUCAACCUGGGAACUGCAGUGGAAACUGGACGACUAGAGUG